GGCACUAACAUGGCAAAUUGACAUAUAAAUAUAUAUUUCACUUUUUUUUUUUGGAAAAAAAAUGUAUAUUAGUCAAGUUUAGAGAUACAGCAACACAUAUAAACACUUUUUAGGGAUGAUAUUUGAAGUUUUUUUAAAUUCCUUUUUUCAGGCUUAUUUGUCAUCCACCCAAAAUCACAUGGUU